GUCUUUGUGGUGUAAUAGGUUAGCAUAUUCGGCUGUUAACUGAAAGGCUGGGGGUUCGAGCCCACCCAGAGACG